CUGCACCUUGGGCCAGUGGAUCUCCUGGAAUCCUCCAGCCCUUCAGCACCAGAUUGGACCUACUAAGGCAUCCAGCCCUGUGAACUGAGCAGCUGCUGCCUUCCCAGCCUCUGCGUGGCGAAAGCCAAGCGUGGUUGGCCCACUCCGUCCGUCUAGGAAGCCACUCUGAUCAGUUUUCUUGUGUAGAUUUUAGCAUCGGUGUGACCGAGUCCUGCGCGAUAAAUGUGAG
rnacentral:lncRNA from 1 species